UCCUGGUUGGCUCAGGCAGUAGGGCAUGUGACUCUUGAUCUCAGGGUCAUGAGUUCAAGCCUCAUACUGAGUA
rnacentral:tRNA from 1 species